rnacentral:rRNA from 1 species
UACAGAGGUCCCAAGCGUUGUUCGGAUUCAUUGGGCGUAAAGGGUGCGUAGGCGGCGCGGUAAGUCGGGUGUGAAAUCUCGGGGCUUAACUCCGAAACUGCAUUCGAUACUGCCGUGCUUGAGGACUGGAGAGGAGACUGGAAUUUAUGGUGUAGCGGUGAAAUGCGUAGAUAUCGUAAGGAAGACCAGUGGCGAAGGCGGGUCUCUGGACAGUUCCUGACGCUGAGGCACGAAGGCCAGGGGAGCAAACGGG